UACGGAGGGGGCUAGCGUUGUUCGGGAAUUACUGGGCGUAAAGCGCACGUAGGCGGCUUUGUAAGUUAGAGGUGAAAGCCCGGGGCUCAACUCCGGAAUUGCCUUUAAGACUGCAUCGCUAGAAUUGUGGAGAGGUAAGUGGAAUUCCGAGUGUAGAGGUGAAAUUCGUAGAUAUUCGGAAGAACACCAGUGGCGAAGGCGACUUACUGGCCCGGUACUGACGCUGAGGUGCGAAAGCGUGGGGAGCAAACAGG
rnacentral:rRNA from 1 species